GGACUGCUCAGUAACAGGCGAUUAAUUUAAUCUUUACAAACGGACAAACUCAGGAAACGGAGUGUAAUACGUAAAAGAUGAUUUUUUAUUUAAAAAAGAAAACAUUUUUAGCUUGAAUAAAGCGGUAAAGAAUAAGACGCCAACCCAUCAGUUAGUAAGUAGGGUAAGGGCCUAUUUAGACGAAUACGGGUACGGGGAAUUAGGGUUUGAUUCCGGAGAGGGAGCCUGAGAGACGGCUACCAGGUCCAAGGACGGCAGCAGGCGCGAAAAUUACCGAAGCUCAAAUAGAGGCGGUAGUAAUGAGACGUAUAAAUAAUAAUAUAAGGGUAAAAAACUUAUUAAUAACUGGAGGUCAAGUCUGGUGCCAGCA
rnacentral:rRNA from 1 species